UACGAAGGGGGCUAGCGUUGUUCGGAAUCACUGGGCUUAAAGGGCGCGUAGGCGGGCCAUCCAGUCCGGGGUGAAAUCUUUCGGCUUAACCGGAAAAGUGCCUUGGAUACUGAUGGCCUCGAGCGAGGUAGGGGCAGGCGGAACUUCCGGUGGAGCGGUGAAAUGCGUUGAUAUCGGAAGGAACUCCGGUGGCGAAAGCGGCCUGCUGGACCUUUUCUGACGCUGAGGCGCGAAAGCUAGGGGAGCAAACGGG
rnacentral:rRNA from 1 species